AUUUCCCCUGAAAAGAAAACUUAUGUUUUAGAUACCCUGCUCCUUUCUUGAGCUUAAUUUCCAUUCUUGUGGUAUUUGCAGUUUCCAUCCGUUCAUUGUUUUUUAUAGUCUGAGAACCAUGAAUGACCCCAUCCUGAGCCAUGGAGAUUGCGCUGGACGUGGCCAAGGUUAAUUUGAUUUACUAAUGACAAUCACAUCUGCAGCACUUGUGAAAUGUUAUGUACCAGGUAGAUGUGGUCAUGUAGUCAAAACAUUCCAUUUUCUAUUGAUUUAGCUUGAUAAAUCACUAUCGUAAAUUGACAUACAAAAGCUUCGUAAUUCAUUAGCUCCAAACAUGUCUUCAGGGCAGAGAUUGCGGUUAUUUUGUGAUGCUUCAGGACAGGGAAUGCCAGACUUGAUGGACUGGACUUAAUCAUUUGGUGGUAUUUAUGGAACAAGGAACAUGACAGUCUCCAUGAUGCUAGGUCAUUGAGCUAAAAUGCAUCCGAUUCAAGUGUACUAACAUAAACUGUCCAUACAACCAUGAUCAAGUCUGAAGAGCUAAAAGCCGGUUACCAUCUUCCUAGAAGCCCGAGAUAGUGAUUUACCUUUCCCCUGGGAAGGUAAGGUAAUGAUUAUGUCCUUCCUAGGAGGGGCUGUCUAGACUUGUAUCAUGAAGGGAAACCAUCACCUCACAUGGGAGAGGGAGGCCAAUAAGGCUGCAGUUUCAGACUAAGUCCCCUCUUCCUGUCAUCUUCAUCAUUUUCGUAGUUGUAGUUUUGGUCUAUAGAUGAGAAAAAUUCCUUUCAUGGCAUAUGUUUUAUGAGUUAUCACUAAUUCGUUUGUAUGAUUAGUCAUCUGCAAUAGAAUGCAAAUUUUGCUGUUGAACUUGUUCGAAAAUGCAAGCAUAUGUUAUUUCUUCAAGAUUUUCAUCUAUUUAGUUCUGACCCUGCUACCUACAUCUUCCAUAUUGGUUAUGU
rnacentral:lncRNA from 1 species